GUGCCAGCCGCCGCGCGGUAAUACCAGCCCCGCGAGUGGUUGGGACGCUUACUAGGCCUAAAGCGCCUGUAGCCGGCCCCGUAAGUCCCUCCCUAAAGGCCCGGGCUCAACCCGGGAACUGGGAGGGAUACUGCGGGGCUAGGGGGCGGGAGAGGCGGGGGGUACUCCCGGAGUAGGGGCGAAAUCCGUAGAUCCCGGGAGGACCACCAGUGGCGAAGGCGCCCCGCUAGAACGCGCCCGACGGUGAGAGGCGAAAGCCGGGGCAGCAAAAGGGAUUAGAUACCCCUGUAGUCCCGGCUGUAAACGAUGCCGGCUAGGUGUCGCGUGGGCUUCGAGACCACGCGGUGCCGCAGGGAAGCCGUUAAGCCGGCCGCCUGGGGAGUACGGCCGCAAGGCUGAAACUUAAAGGAAUAGGCGGGGGAGCACCACAAGGGGUGGAACCUGCGGCUCAAUUGGAGUCAACACCUGGAAGCUUACCGGGGGAGACCGCAGGAUGACGGCCAGGCUAACGACCUUGCCCGACUCGCGGAGAGGAGGUGCAUGGCCGUCGCCAGCUCGUGUUGUGAAAUGUCCGGUUAAGUCCGGCAACGAGCGAGACCCCCCCCCUAGUUGGUAUCCUGGGGUCCGCCCCA
rnacentral:rRNA from 1 species